rnacentral:misc_RNA from 1 species
AAAAAAAAAAAAAAAAAUUCCCAUCCACAGAGGGGAACUAAAACUCCAUUACUGGAGACUGAGAAGAAAACUAAGAAAUUAAAGAGACCAACUAAAAGAACUACUAAAAAACAUAACUAAAGAAGGAGGUGCGGGCGUUGACAACCAGGCGGCCUGACCUUCCCUAGAAUAAACACUAAAACAAAAAUUUUUUAAAAAAAGGGGAGAGUGUUUAGAUUUAGAUAGAGAUUGUGGACUUAGUUUCUGAGCGCUCGACUUGCUUUGUCUGAUCCUUUUCUUCAUUAU